rnacentral:rRNA from 1 species
AUACGGAGGGGGCUAGCGUUGUUCGGAAUUACUGGGCGUAAAGCGCGCGUAGGCGGAUUGGUCAGUUGGGGGUGAAAUCCCGAGGCUUAACCUCGGAACUGCCUUCAAAACUGCCAGUCUUGAGUCCGGGAGAGGUGAGUGGAAUUCCUAGUGUAGAGGUGAAAUUCGUAGAUAUUAGGAAGAACACCAGUGGCGAAGGCGGCUCACUGGCCCGGUACUGACGCUGAGGCGCGAAAGCGUGGGGAGCAAACAGGAUUAGAAACCCGGGUAGUCC